ACGAACGCUGGCGGCAGGCCUAACACAUGCAAGUCGAACGCCGUAGCAAUACGGAGUGGCAGACGGGUGAGUAACGCGUGGGAACAUACCCCUCGGUUCGGAAUAACUUAGGGAAACUUGAGCUAAUACCGGAUACGUCCGAGGUUUUAACCGGCCUCGGAGAAAGAUUUAUCGCCGGAGGAUUGGCCCGCGUCUGAUUAGCUUGUUGGUGAGGUAAUGGCUCACCAAGGCGACGAUCAGUAGCUGGUCUGAGAGGAUGAUCAGCCACAUUGGGACUGAGACACGGCCCAAACUCCUACGGGAGGCAGCAGUGGGGAAUAUUGGACAAUGGGCGAAAGCCUGAUCCAGCCAUGCCGCGUGAGUGAUGAAGGCCUUAGGGUUGUAAAGCUCUUUUACCCGGGAAGAUAAUGACGGUACCGGGAGAAUAAGCCCCGGCUAACUUCGUGCCAGCAGCCGCGGUAAU
rnacentral:rRNA from 1 species